rnacentral:misc_RNA from 1 species
CAUUUCUCCUCUUUCGUUCAAUUUUACAGAAGAAAUCAGGAUGGAGAGUGAAGAAUCGAGUCGACCCUCCUUAGGGUUUCCUUCUGGUUUAGCUCUUUUGUUGGUCAUUUUGUUUUUGAUGAGUGGGUUCUUCACUUGUUGCCUCCACUGGGACAAGAUAAGAUCCCUAUUACGAAUUACUUCCUCUGAAGAAAACUCCCAUGCCCAACAAGAUAUUGAGCAUUUACCCCAGAAACCUACGCCUCCUCCCCAGGAAUCAAAGGAAAACAAAGCAGAGAGCCUGCCAGUUUUGAUGCCUGGGGAUCAAGUACCAAGGUUCAUAGCAAUGGCCUGUCCAUGUGAGCCUCCGUUACUAGAGAAGAUGAUCACCAUCAAAGUGCAGAAGCCACCCCCUGUACCAAUUCCUCUAUAUUUAUAAUUUAUGUCUUCUUUUUAUUCCAUCGAUAUACUUGUACAGUUCAUCUAUAUGUAUACAAGCUAGAUAUAGUUUCUUUU